rnacentral:rRNA from 1 species
CAAGUCGAACGCGAAAGUUCCCUUCGGGGAGCGAGUAGAGUGGCGUCCGGGUGAGUAACACGUAGGUAAUCUACCUUUGGGUGGGGAAUAACAACCGGAAACGGUUGCUAAUACCGCAUAAUGCAGCGGCAUCACAUGAUGACAGUUGUUAAAGCGGGGGAUCGUAAGACCUCGCGCCUAAAGAGGAGCCUGCGGCGGAUUAGCUAGUUGGUAAGGUAACGGCUUACCAAGGCAACGAUCCGUAGCCGGCCUGAGAGGGCGGUCGGCCACACUGACACUGAAAUACGGGUCAGACUCCUACGGGAGGCAGCAGUCGGGAAUUUUGGGCAAUGGGCGAAAGCCUGACCCAGCAACGCCGCGUGAAGGAUGAAAUCCCUCGGGAUGUAAACUUCGCAAGAACAGGAAGAAUAAGUAGGGGACAAUACCCCCUAUGAUGACGGUACUGUUUGCAAGCUCCGGCUAACUCCGUGCCAGCAGCCGCGGUAAUACGGGGGGAGCAAGCGUUGUUCGGAUUUACUGGGCGUAAAGGGCGCGUAGGCGGCCUGUGCAAGUCAGUUGUGAAAUCUCCGGGCUUAACUCGGAACGGUCAACUGAUACUGCUCGGCUAGAGUGCGGAAGGGGCAACUGGAAUUCUUGGUGUAGCGGUGAAAUGCGUAGAUAUCAAGAGGAACACCUGCGGCGAAGGCGGGUUGCUGGGCCGACACUGACGCUGAUGCGCGAAAGCUAGGGGAGCGAACGGGAUUAGAUACCCCGGUAGUCCUAGCCUUAAACGAUGAAUGCUUGGUGUCUGGGGUUAUAAAGUCCCCGGGUGCCGUCGCUAACGCUUUAAGCAUUCCGCCUGGGGAGUACGGUCGCAAGACUGAAACUCAAAGGAAUUGACGGGGACCCGCACAAGCGGUGGA